UACGUAGGGCGCAAGCGUUGUCCGGAAUUAUUGGGCGUAAAGAGCUCGUAGGCGGCUUGUCACGUCGGGUGUGGAAGCCCGGGGCUUAACCCCGGGUCUGCAUUCGAUACGGGCAGGCUAGAGUGUGGUAGGGGAGAUCGGAAUUCCUGGUGUAGCGGUGAAAUGCGCAGAUAUCAGGAGGAACACCGGUGGCGAAGGCGGAUCUCUGGGCCAUUACUGACGCUGAGGAGCGAAAGCGUGGGGAGCGAACAGG
rnacentral:rRNA from 1 species